rnacentral:lncRNA from 1 species
UGUGAAUCAGUUCACACGAUCAGUGUGAAAAGCGGGUAUGAAGACCCAGAUGCUGGUGUGUACGUGUGCAUAUAAGCCCCAACAGAUUCUGCCAGAAACGGAGUAGAAAAACUGUGGCUCACCCGGGACCCAGUCUUUCCCCAGGUUCCCCACAGAUGCGCUCUGAAUCUGUUAUAAUUGACUCACCACGACCUGCAUGCACACAUGGAAUUCCUCAUGGCAUCCUUAGAUCUUUUUUGCCACAUCCUUUUGCUCUGACUCGAAGAGGAAGCCAACCAUCUCUUCACUGGCCUGUGCCACAGAUGCCUUCCAUGUCAAUACCAUCUGUGAUCCCGACGGAAAUGAUAGUUAAAAUUUGUUGCAUCUGUUAUUGAGCCUAUCUUUGUAGUAGGAGUAAUGAAAUUUGGCUUCCAAACUAAUUCAUCUUUAUGCAGAUAGCCCAAACUAACCUGCAAUUAAAACACUGAAAGUAGUCACAACUGGGAGAUACAAAAUAAAUGUGGGAAAAAGUUCUUUUUCAAUAAAGAAGCAUGAUUAGUUUGAGAAACAUCAACUCCGAGGACUAUAAUCUAAGCUGGUAGAAAUUAAAAUUAUGGGAAAAUAGAAUUUUGCCGAUAGACUUGAAACUGUGAAAAUAAGUAGAGUGUUUGAUAACCUGAAAUAAACUCUUUCUAAAGCACUAUUUUUAUAGUGGAACCAGGGGUAGCUACUAUUUUGUUAUUAUUUUAAUUGUUUGUGAACAUAUGGGAUAAAGAAAAGGAACAUGAAUGUGAUUGCAGCUACAGUA